GUUUCCUACGGGGGGCAGCAGUGGGGAAUAUUGCGCAAUGGGCGAAAGCCUGACGCAGCGACGCCGCGUGAGGGAUGAAGGUUUUCGGAUCGUAAACCUCUGUCAGAAGGGAAGAAAGUGCGUGGUGCUAAUCAGCCGCGUAUUGACGGUACCUUCAAAGGAAGCACCGGCUAACUCCGUGCCAGCAGCCGCGGUAAUACGGAGGGUGCGAGCGUUAAUCGGAAUUACUGGGCGUAAAGCGCACGUAGGCUGUUGUGUAAGUCAGGGGUGAAAUCACACGGCUUAAUCGUGGAACUGGAUUUGAU
rnacentral:rRNA from 1 species